rnacentral:rRNA from 1 species
GAUGAACGCUGGCGGCGUGCCUAACACAUGCAAGUCGAGCGAUUCUCUUCGGAGAAGAGCGGCGGACGGGUGAGUAACGCGUGGGUAACCUGCCCUGUACACACGGAUAACAUACCGAAAGGUAUGCUAAUACGAGAUAAUAUACUUUUAUCGCAUGGUAGAAGUAUCAAAGCUCCGGCGGUACAGGAUGGACCCGCGUCUGAUUAGCUAGUUGGUAAGGUAACGGCUUACCAAGGCGACGAUCAGUAGCCGACCUGAGAGGGUGAUCGGCCACAUUGGAACUGAGACACGGUCCAAACUCCUACGGAGGCAGCAGUGGGGAAAAUUGCACAAUGGGCGAAAGCCUGAUGCAGCAACGCCGCGUGAGCGAUGAAGGCCUUCGGGUCGUAAAGCUCUGUCCUCAAGGAAGAUAAUGACGGUACUUGAGGAGGAAGCCCGGCUAACUACGUGCCAGCAGCCGCGGUAA